GAUGAAGAACGUAGCGAAAUGCGAUAAGUAGUGUGAAUUGCAGAAUUCAGUGAAUCAUCGAAUCUUUGAACGCACAUUGCGCCCUUUGGUAUUCCUUAGGGCAUGCCUGUUCGAGCGUCAUUUAAACCUUCAAGCUAAGCUUGGUGUUGGGUGACUGUCCGCUUCACGGCGGACUCGCCUCAAAAUUAUUGGCGGCCGGUACAUUGGCUUCGAGCGCAGCAGAAACGCGAACUCNGNCCCGUCGUAUUGGCUCCCAGAAGCUAUCUUCACAAUUUUGACCUCGGAUCAGGUAGGGAUACCCGCUGAACUUAAGCAUAUCAAUAAGCGGAGGA
rnacentral:misc_RNA from 1 species